CCAGUAACCUACCUCAUGCUGAUGAGUUGCAUUAACAACGAAACAGCUGUCCAUGAGUGGGUCACGGCACAGCA